CACGUCAUCUCUCACUGCGGCCAUUUUACAUUCUGCAGUUUUAAGCGACGGACGUGUUGUUGGCGUGUCUAAACCCAUACAGUUUAGUGAAGUGAUUUUUGAACGUUUGAAAGAACUGCAGCCAUUAUUCGAGCAAAUUGGACGAAAUUGAGAAAGUAUGGGGACGCCUUAUUCGUGCCAUGGAGGAAAAGGACUGCUGAUGCUCAGGUUUGAUAAGUUUUGGUGAGCCAUAAAUUUUCAGAAAUUGGAUUUUCCAUAUUUCGGGCGCAUUGCGAAAGAUAAAGGUAAAUUUCAUUCUUUCUUUCUGCGUUAUAUUAUUAUUUUUAUUGCGCAUGUCUGUAACGGUGCCUUGGUAUUGAUCUUAUUAUCAGCAAGGGUCAAAAUAUUUUAUAAAUCCAGUUUUGAAUUCUAUUUUCUCAAAAUUUAUGGCUCUUAGUUACCUUCACUUAAAUCAACGUUUAAACAAAUGUGAUAUUUUAAAAUAUUUUAUAUUAUAUUCAAUUAUAUUCUGUGAUAAUGAUUUUCUGUAAUUUUAAUUGGUAAUGUAAAUAUUGUAAAUAACUUUUAAAUUAUUUAAUAAAAAAUAUAUCUAGAAUUUUAUUAAUUAAGUAUCAAAUAUAUUCCCCCUCAUCCAGUUUUUAAUAUUAUUUUGAUUUUACAUGUUGAAGAGGUUACAAUGGAGGUGGGCUCAACCUCCUGUUGAUCGGUAAUCCCAUGAACCCAAAAUUUCAUCAAGUUAUGAGGAACUGAUGGAAAAUGCGGUUAUCGAGGUACAAGGUUUCUUGGCUAUAGGCAACUACAUACGCAUUGGCUGACUACACGGAGAUGUUCGUUGGGGCUGGUUUAGUUUCAAAGGCCUGUAGCUAUCUACAUGGGACAGUAAUGUGAGAGAGAGAGAGGUUGGCAGAACAUACAAUUGCCGACUGAAAAUCAAGGACCACGUAGAUAACCUGAAUUUUUUUUACUUAAUCCCACAACUGAGGAACAUAAACGUAAUGCUGCUGAAUAUCCCUGAAGAAAUACAUCUACCAAGUAGGGAUUCGCAAUUACUAUUAUUUGCUGAAGAAUCUAUUCCGCCCCCUAAUCUGGUGUUCUUUCCGAUAAGGAAUUGGUUGGAGUUCUGAACCAUUGUCCUAUCGUACGAAGACGAGGAAAUCAUCUUCUGUGCACGCUGCUAAUAAAUCCAUUUUUCUCAAUUUCAAGAUUCGGCAUAUAACGUUAACUGAAAAUUAUUUGAAACCAUCCAAACCUGAGAAAUGAAGAAAUGGGAAAUUCGUAGUAACCUACUCUCGCCUAUCCCUAAAGGAGCUCGUAUUUGAAAAAAUUCUUCUGCAUCAAGGAAGCUGUAUAAUUCAUUAUUCAAAGCAACUUUGGGUUCUUGAAACACCUAAAAUAUAUUCACUUUCAAUUUAUGCUGAUCGUAUUAUUUACAACAAUUUAUUUUUAGAUUGGAUGUUUUGCUGUUCUAUUCAAACAAAUUCUAUUUAUUCCUAUUGAAGUAAAUAAUAUGCCCCUUUCAUUCUCGAACCCAACGUCAGAUGUUGAUGGUUUGAGGUGGACAAAAUUCCGAGGGAUUUCAUUAUUUUUUUGUUGGAAUAUAAUAGUCGUUUGUAACAUUAACUUCGCCAAAUUUUAGAAGGCUAGCCUGCGUUAAAUCUGCUUCCCUGGAUUGAUUCGAGAGAUGUCUAAUCGUUUCAGAGUUGAAAAGAAGUUGGAAAUACAUAACAUUCCCAUCAAUCAAGUUUAGAGAAUUCUUAAAGGAAUAUUUCUUUGGAGCUGAGAGAUAGAUAUAAAGGGCUCUUUACGUUAUCAAGUGUCCGAAAAAAAUUAGUAUUUCAGAAAUCUUCAUUUUUAUGAUUGAUUACUAUUCAAGCAUCAGGUAACAAUUCCUCCAGUCCAUCGAGUUUUAGGAUAUCUGGAAUAUAUUGAACGUUUCUGCAAAUGAACACUUGAUAAAGGAAUAACAUUAAUCGAAACAAUUAUAAUUAUUUUAAACAUGGAAUCUUCAAGCUGUUCACAACUUGGGUGAUAGUAUCAGAUUUAUUUGUUUAUAAUCUUACCUCAGUGUCUUCCUAUGCUACACUACUUUUUCAGAAAGAUGUAUUCAUGACUUUUACAAGGUCAAUUCAUAUAGAAGUCGCUUCAUUACCGAAAACUCAUCAACAAAUGCAAAAACAACUGAAUCGUGUGCACAUUUACGCUAUAGAGAAAUUCGGAAAUUUCGAAAAUGGAACAAUUACCAUAGUUUAUUCCAAUCACGACAUAGGACAAGAAUCUCAAGUGAAAUAUACAUAUGACCAUUUGGUGAGUACCUUGAUCUUGGUGCAUCGCCAUUGCAGAUACAGCCGUACAAAGAAUACCUACUUGUUGAGAUCUGUUCAAUUCUUGGAAAGAGACUGAAAAUAAUACAUGUGCUUAUGGAAUGGAUUCAUUUGAGGCCCUUUUCCCUAUGUGUUUGAACUAACCGCGAGCUUUGUGGGAGAAUGAGGUAGUUUUGGUUUUCUCUUUUGGGUAUAAUAUUUUUUCUAGAUUGUGCAUGCACAGGCUUGAAUAAGGAACAAUUUGUUGGAAGGAAGUGAGCAAGAAUAAUACACAUGCUGAAUGAACAAGUAGUAUGCUGAUAGUUCUGAUGAGAAAUUAUCUCGAUAUAGCACUGGAUGUGACUGACAUUGGUAUGAAUUUGCUCUAUUGCAAGUAAUUUUUGAAUGAAUACCUGUUUCCUUACGCUUUCGGUGUUUACCUUCUAAACCUUGAUUAAUUGCAUGCAUAUCAAUGUUGCCCGAGAUCAUGGAAAGGUUUUUGGAAAGGAAUUAAUUGCAAUACUGCCUUGUCUGUUGGUGUAAGUAGUGGAAAGUAUAUUAUAGUUGUACAACACUCAACCCUAGUAUGGAAUUUUGUUCCAUUAAUAUAACGGAAUUUUAGAAUGAAUGUGCUGUCAUUGAUUGUAUAAAUACGUAAAGAAGGAACUGAUAAAGAAUUAUCAAUUUUGUCGAUAGUCAAUUUGAGACACUCGAGAUAAUAAUAGAAACAUAUGAUGAACCAUUGAUUGAUUAGCGGAAAAUCACUUCCGAUUGUUUAAAGUAUAUUUCAGGCUGGAUUAUGUUUUUAUUCACCUCCGCUUUGAACUGUAGCUUGAAGCAUUCACUGUUCCCAAUGUAUGAGAUGAAAAGUUACCCCAUUAGACUUGGUUAAAUGUCUUUUCAUCAACCAAAAAUUGUUUCAUUUCUAAAAGAAAUAAAUGUUUGGAGUGUUCACGGCCAUUCGAAAUAUUGAGAGUUGGGACUACUGUAAGUACCUUGUUCUUAACUAGGUAAUUGGACCCUUUUAGAAUUCAUUGGAGUGACUUUACACUCGGCCUGUUCUAUGAUGAUGUAGCCAUUAAUCGUGAAGCCUGUAAAUGAAAAUCCAAUUACCGCUUUAGAGGAAAUCAUUACAGCAAACAGAAAGGAAGGGAAAUUGCUGAUAAUAGGAUCAAAGUUAUUAUAUUACCACAGGUAAAAUCUAGUUACCGUUACUUAAAAAAUGUUGUGCAAUGUUCAAGAAACAUAUUGGAAGUGGACGUGUCUAUCUUUCGUCGCUUCGGAUUAAAACUUUUUUGUAGGGAAAUCCUUUGAACACUAAAAACAGGAUAAUAUGAAUGUAGAGAUCAGCCAAGGAUACCUCUAACUAUUGAAAUGAAGAAACCGACAAAAUAGAUAUUGUCUGAAAUUUGGAUAGAUAAAUCUGAUUUUAUUAGAUAUCUUUCUUCUUAAUGAGAGUGUGUUAAUAUAAAAGGAGUAUUGAUAUUAUCGUUCGUGAGUACCGUUGUUAUAUCUCGCAAAACCCAAUAUUCUUCUAGAAAUACCACAAAUAUUUUUAUCCAUGUGGCAAUUUGAGAAAUUCGAAAAAUUUAAUAGACAGAGAAUUCCUACCAUUCUGAAAUAGAUGUAAAGACCUUCGAAGAAAUUGAGCCUUAUCAGCGUUUCGAGAUAUUGUUUGAUCCAAAUUCAGGUAACAACAAGGUAUCCUUCAAUUUUCCUUCUAAUAAUUGUUUCAGGUUAACCUGUCCUGUUUUAAUCACAUCACAAACAGCUAAAAAAGUGAAGCUAUAUUUGCUCAAAAUAUUUUGAAACAAACUGAAAUGCAACAUGUAUUUGUGAGGAGAUAAAUAUUAAUUGCUUCGGUUUAAACUUUGAACCCUUGAACAGUUAUGACAUAGAAAUGAAUGUAGAAGUCUCGCUGAGCAUAACUUUUAAGGAACCACCAAAAUUAUCUGAACUUUUCGAUAGAUUAAUGUCAUUUCUAGAUAUCUUGCCUUAAGCUGUUAAUGAAUAGGAGUGGAGUCUUCAUGUAAAAGGAGUAGUGAUAUUUCUAUUCGUGAGUACCCGUUUCAUAUCUUGAAAACCCCAAUUUUCUUCUAGAAAUACAGCAUAAAUUGGAAUCUAGGCUGCAAAACAAGAGUUAUGCUAGUACCAAUGUAGAAAAAUUUACUUGGAAAUUAUUGGCCUCUCGAUCUUUGAUUAUUUGUAGAUCCAUGUUAGUUAUUCGCCUUUUCUGAUUUGUUUUCCAAAUAUAAAUAGUUGUUUAACCCCUUAUUCACCGAAAAGUGGACAACAGCUGUUCGAUACGAUGGGAAGAACAAGGUAACGUUUCAGUUUUCCUUCUAAUAAUUGUUUCAGAUUAACCUACCUUUGAGUUUUUUUCCCACAUCACUAAUAUCUGAAAAAGUGGAUGAACUACCAAGCACUUUGGUCUAAAUAAUUUGAAGAAAACUGAAAAGGAACAAAUAACUUGUGAGGCCUAUUAUUUGUGUUGUAGUUUUCUUUUUUGCUCGAUUGUUAUCUCAAAUUUGAUAUUUUUUUGAAAUUCUACUCUAAUUAUUUUUUUACAUCUUAACUCUAAAAGAACAGGCGAUGGUGCCUGAAUUUUUUCGAAAUAUCUUUCUUGAUUUUUAGUUGUGGUUUGCUCCAUAUUAUAAACUUGUUUCUAAUAUAUCGAAGAUCAGAACAAAAACCCUUGGAAUUGGAUCGAAAGCUCUUGAUUGAGGUGAAUCAUUAUAAUUCCCUAUCAAAACAAUAUUAUCGCGCAUGCAAUAAUAAUUUAAAAAAAAAUUGAGUCACUCAAGAUUAUUGCAGGAAGAAUAACUGUAAGUACCUUGAUUUUAUUCUGCAUAAUCAGAUUAUUCUAGAAUUGGUUAUUGGAAUUUCUCUGCCUGUGUUUUAUCGAUUAUUAUCAAGAGGUGUUUAUUGAGUCAUCUAAAUCGGAAACCCAGAUAUCCCCUCAUAGAGAAGAAAAAAAUGGAUGGUAUGUGCAUGUACAUUAAUCUUAUGUAGAAAGUAUCGAGAUUGAAUAAGGUGAAGUCUCCAUAGAUAAUUUGAUUUGAUUCUUGAACAUUCGAACUGAAAAAAGUUAUAUGCUCCCCCUGUAUCCCCUUUAUCACAUAUUUUUUAGUGUAUUUCGUAAUAGAUAUCAUUACUGCAGUAUUAACAAUUAAGGAGUUUAUAAUAUCCACGCAUUACUUGAUGAUUCUAAAUUUGAAACCAAAAUCAAUACGACCUCAAGGGUCAUAGUGGUACGUUGAAGUUGAAAAAAAAACUUUGGAGAGUAGGGGACUGCUUGUUUUCAGUCCAGGGAGAAAAUUCUGCUUUCAUAGUUGGAAUAUUGAACAUCUAUUUUAGUCGAGUAAGGCAUCUUUAGUUUUCCUCUUAAUGCUUAUUUUCAGUCACAAGUCAAAGAUGUUCUGCUUUCAUCAAAAAAAUAAUAGGAUACGGAUUAAGACGAAAUAUUGAACAUCAACUUCGAAAAGAAAGGUAUCUUUUAGUUUUUCUUUUAAUGUUUGAUUUCAGUCACGAGGGAAAAAUAUUCUGCUUUCAUUGUUGAUUUUUCAUAGAGGAAAUACUCAAUUCACACUAGGAUGAAAUAUUGAACCUCAAACGGAACACGGAAACAAAGGUAGCCCUAAGUAUUCUUCCUAAUGUUUGAUUUCAGUCACGAGAGAAAGAUAUUCUGCUUUCAUUGUUAAUUUUUCAUAGAGGAAAUACUCGAUUCAUACUAGGAUGAAAUAUUGAACCUCAAACGGAACACUGAAACAAAGGUAGCCUUAAGUAUUCUUCCUAAUGUUUGAUUUCAGUCACGAGAGGAAGAUAUUCUGCAUUCAUUGUUAAUUUUUCAUAGAGGAAAUACUCGAUUCACACUAGGAUGAAAUAUUGAAUCCCUAACGGAAACAAAGGUAGCCUUAAGUAUUCUUCCUAAUGUUUGAUUUCAGUCACGGGAGAAAGAUAAUCUGCUUUCAUUGUUAAUAUUUCAUAGAAGAAAUACUCGAUUUACACUAGGAUGAAAUAUUGAAUCCCUAACGAAACACGGAAACAAAGGUAGCCUUAAAUUUUCUUCCUAAUGUUUGAUUUCAGUCACGAGGGAAAAAUAUUCUGCUUUCAUUGUUGAUUUUUCAUAGAGAAAAUACUCAAUUCACACCAGGAUAAAAUAUUGAACCUCAAACGGAACACGGAAACAAAGGUAGCCCUAAGUAUUCUUCCUAAUGUUUGAUUUCAGUCACGAGAGAAAGAUAUUCUGCUUUCAUUGUUAAUUUUUCAUAGAGGAAAUACUCGAUUCAUACUAGGAUGAAAUAUUGAACCUCAAACGGAACACGGAAACAAAGGUAGCUUUAAGUAUUCUUCCUAAUGUUUGAUUUCAGUCACGAGAGAAAGAUAUUCUGCUUUCAUUGUUAAUUUUUCAUAGAAGAAAUACUCAAUUCACACUAGGAUGAAAUAUUGAACCUCAAACGGAACACGGAAACAAAGGUAGCCCUAAGUAUUCUUCCUAAUGUUUGAUUUCAGUCACGAGAGAAAGAUAUUCUGCUUUCAUUGUUAAUUUUUCAUAGAGGAAAUACUCGAUUCAUACUAGGAUGAAAUAUUGAACCUCAAACGGAACACGGAAACAAAGGUAGCUUUAAGUAUUCUUCCUAAUAUUUGAUUUCAGUCACGAGAGGAAGAUAUUCUGCUUUCAUUGCUAAUUUUUCAUAGAGGAAAUACUCGAUUCACACUAGGAUGAAAUAUUGAAUCCCUAACGGAACACUGAAACAAAGGUAGCCUUAAGUAUUCUUCCUAAUGUUUGAUUUCAGUCACGAGAGAAAGAUAUUCUGCUUUCAUUGUUAAUUUUUCAUAGAGGAAAUACUCUAUUCACACUAGGACGAAAUAUUGAACCUCAAACGGAACAUGGAAACAAAGGUAGCCUUAAGUAUUCUUCCUAAUGUUUGAUUUCAGUCACGAGAGAAAGAUAUUCUGCUUUCAUUGUUAAUUUUUCAUAGAGGAAAUACUCUAUUCACACUAGGACGAAAUAUUGAACCUCAAACGGAACAUGGAAACAAAGGUAGCCUUAAGUAUUCUUCCUAAUGUUUGAUUUCAGUCACGAGAGAAAGAUAUUCUGCUUUCAUUGUUAAUUUUUCAUAGAGGAAAUACUCUAUUCACACUAGGACGAAAUAUUGAACCUCAAACGGAACAUGGAAACAAAGGUAGCCUUAAGUAUUCUUCCUAAUGUUUGAUUUUAGUCACGGGAUAAAGAUAUUCUGCUUUCAUUCCAUAGAGGAAAUAUUCGAUUCACAGUAGGAUAAAAUUUUGAGCGCCUCACAGACUAUACGAAAGUAAGGAAUCUUUAGUUUUUUUUUUUAAUGUUUGUUUUCAGUCACGGACAAAUAUAUUAUAUUUUCAUGAAAGCAAAACAUAUGGAUUCGCAGUAGGACGGAAUAUUGAACGCCCACCAGUAAUUUAAAAAUAAAAAAGGAUCUUGUGUUUUUUCUCCUAAUAUUCGUUUCCAAUCACGGACACAGAGAUUUUACUUCCAUCAAAAAAAAAACUUGGAUUCACAGUAGGAAGGAAUAUUGAAUCUCCAACAGCCCUUUGAAAAGAAAGGUAUCUUUAGUUUUUUCCUAAUGCUUGUUUUCAGUCGCAGGCAAAGCUAUUCUUCAUUUAUAAAAGCAAUAAAUUUGGGUUCGCAGUAGGAAGGAAUAUUGAAUCUCCAACAUAAUGCUUAUGCUUGAUUUAGUUACUGGAGAAAGGUAAUCUGCUUUCAUUGUUAACUAUCAUAGAGGAAAUGCUUAAUUCACACACAAUAGGAUGAACUUUGAAAAGAAAGGUAUUCUUUAGUAUUUCCCCUAAUGUUUGAUUUCAGUCACGGAAGAAAGAUAUUCUGCCCUCAUUGUCAAUUUAUCAUUGUCAUACACAAUUCACAGUAGGAUGAAAUAUUUAACCCCUAACGGAACACGGACAAAAAGGUAUCCUUAAGUAUUACUCCUAAUGCUUGAUUUCAGUCACGAGCGAAAAUAUUGUGCUGUCAUGGCUUAUUCUCAUUUCAUAGUAGGAUGAAAUAUUGAGCGCCUUACAUACUUUAGAAAAGUAAGGAAUCUUUAGUUUUCCUUCUAAUGUUUGUUUUCAGUUACGAAAAGCUAUAUUAUGCUUUCAUAAAAGCAAAACACUUGGAUUCGCACUAGGACGGAUUAUUGAACCUCCAACAGAAUUUUGAAAAAAAAGGUAUCUUUAGUUUUUCUCCUAAUGCUUGUUUUCAGUAGCGGAAAAAGCUAUUCUACAUCCAUAACAGCAAAAUACUUGGGUUAGUAGUAGGAAGGAAUAUUGAGCCUUCAAAAGAAUGCUAAUGAUUAGUUUUAGUACCUGGGGAAAGAUUUUCUGCUUUUAUUGUUAACGUUUCACAGAGGAAAUAUUCAAUUCACAAUAGGAUAUAAUAUUGGACCUCCAACAGAUUUUUGAAAAAAAGGUAUCUUUAGUUUUUCUCCUAAUGCUUGUUUUCAGUUACUGGAGAAGGAUUUUCCGCUUUCGUUGUUAACCUUACAUAGAGGAAAUACUCAAAUCACAGUAGGAAGAAAUAUUGAACGCCUCACAGAUUUUUCGGAAGUAAGGUAUCUUUAGUUUUCCUUCUAAUGUGUGUUUUCAGUCACAGUCGAAGAUGUUAUACUUUCAUAAAAACACCAAUACGCAAUUCGCAGUAGGAAGGAGUAUUCUACCUUGAAAAGAAAAAUAUCUUUGGUUUUCUCCUGAUGCAUGUUUUCAUUUAUUGGAUAAAGAUAUACUUCUUUCACCGUUAAUUUUUCGAAGAUGAAAUACUCAAUUCACAUUAGGAUGAAUUAUUGAAACCCUAACCGAACACAGAAACGAAGGUAUCCUACAGUAUUCUUCCUAAUGUUUGAUUUCAGUCACUGGAGAAGGAUAUUCUGCUUUCAUUGUUAAUUUUCCAUAGAAGAAAUACUCAAUUCACUACUGUGAAUGAAAUACCAAAUGCCUGACAGUGUUUCGGAUAGUAAGGGAUCUUUAAUUUUCUAUCUAAUGUUUGAUUUCAGUCACGGGAGAAAGAUAUUCUGCUUUCAUUGUUAAUAUUUCAUAGAGGAAAUACUCGAUUCACACUUUCAUGAAAGAAAUACUAGAAUUCGCAGUUAAACUGAAUAUUGAACCUCCCACAGAAUUUCGAAAGUAAGGUAUCUAUAGUUUUCUUCUUAAUGUUUGAUUCCAGUCACUGAAGAAAAUAUUCUGCUUUCUUGUUUUCUGCUAAUACUUGGUUACAGUCCCUGCUAUGAAUUCUAUUUUCGAAGCAUUCUGUCUUCUACCCCAAAAACAAGUGAGAUUAACUUAUUUUAAUAGUUUUAUAAUCUGGAGUAUAGUUUGUAUAUAUAUUUAAUUAAAAUUUUUUUGAACGUUUCGGCUAACAUGAUGACCAAUAAUACUGUGGAAAAUGUUUGGGCCCGACACACACAACAAAAAUUUCUGUUGCAGACAAAUUCUUGUGUGUGUUUCAACCUGGUUGGUGAACAAGCCAAAGGAUGAUUAAUAUAAAUAAAUAAAUAUUCUUUAGAAACUAUUGCGAAAAGCAAAGCAAAUAUAAAACUUGAAUUUGAAGAAGCUCGAGUGGAGAAUAAAUGUGUUACAAGCAACACGUUUUUUUAUUAGUUUUUAGUGUGACAGAUAAAAGGAAAAUUUGGACCAUCCAAGUAUUUCCAAAAGAUAUUGAAGAAGAGAAGCGUCGAGUGUUUUACUCGCAGUCUCCUCAACCCAAAUGUCCAAGAAGAAAAAACGCUGGGACUUCCACAAGACAGAUGUGAGAUCACCAAUAGCCUUUUGUUUCAGGUAGCAAAGAAACCUGAUUGCUAAAGGUUUUGCCCAUCUUAACAUUCAUGAAAUAUGUAUAAGAAGAGAAGCGUCGAGUAUUCCACUCGCAUAGUGUCCACCAAUUUACUAUUGAGGGAUUGCGACGAACUACCGGCUCUACUACGAGCACGCUGCAAUACUUGGAAGGAUGGUUGUUCAAGAAGAAAGAAGAGGACUGCAAUAAGUCGGCUCUCGAAAUGUGAGGACAAAAUGACGACUUGUGUUAUAGGCAUCCCAGUGAACCUGAUCCUCUAAUCCGGAGGGUAACAUCAACUGAAAGAGAAGAUUCUCGUCUAAUUCGCCCACAUCACAGACAUCGGAGGAUAGUUGACCAAGCAAAUAGAAGGGGAUGGCGACCAAUCGGCUCUACCACCAACACGCUGCAAUACAUGGAGGGCUAGUUGUUCGAGCAGAAAGAGGCGGACUACAACACGUCGGCUCUGGAAAUGUGAGGUCAUCAUGACGAAUUCUGUUAUAGGCAUCCCAGUGAACCUGAUCCACCUAUCAGGAUGGUCACAUCAACUGACGGAGAAGAUUUCCGACUGAUUCACCCACAUCACAGACAUCGAAGGACGGCUGACCAAGCAAAUAGAAGAGGAUGGCGACCAAUCGGCUUUACUACCAGCACGCCGCAAUACAUGGAAGGAUGGUUGUUCGAGAAGAAAGAAGAGGACUGCAACAAGUCGGCUCUGGAAAUGUGAGGACAAAAUGACGACUUCUGUUAUAGGCAUCCCAGUGAACCUGAUCCACCUAUCUGGAUGGUCACAUCAACUGGCUGAGAAGAUUUCCGACUGAUUCACCCACAUCACAGACAUCGAAGGACGGCUGACCAAGCAAAUAGAAGAGGAUGGCGACCAAUCGGCUUUACUACCAGCACGCCGCAAUACAUGGAAGGAUGGUUGUUCGAGAAGAAAGAAGAGGACUGCCACACGUCGGCUCUGGAAAUGUGAAGCCAUCAUGACGACUUCUGUUAUAGGCAUCCCAGUGAACCUGAUCCACUUAUCAGGAUGGUCACAUCAACUGGCGGAGAAGAUUUCCGACUGAUUCACCCACAUCGCAGACAUCGGAGGACGGCUGACCAAGCAAAUAGAAGAGGAUGGCGACCAAUCGGCUCUACUACCAGCACGCCGCAAUACAUGGAAGGAUGGUUGUUCGAGAAGAAAGAAGAGGACUGCCACACGUCGGCUCUGGAAAUGUGAGGCCAUCAUGACGACUUCUGUUAUAGGCAUCCCAGUGAACCUGAUCCACUUAUCAGGAUGGUCACAUCAACUGGCGGAGAAGAUUUCCGACUGAUUCACUCACAUCGCAGGCUUCGGAGGAUGGUCAACCAAUCAAAAAGAAGAGGAAUUCGACCAGUCGGCUCUACCACCAUCACUCUGCAAUAAAUGGAAGGAUGGUUGUUCGAGGAAAAAGAAGAGGACUGCAUCACGUCGGCUCUGGAAAUGUGAGGCCAAUAUGAGGACUUCUGUUAUAGGCAUCCCAGUUAACCUGAUCCACCUAUCUGGAUGGUCACAUCAACUGAUGGAGAAGAUUUUCGUCUGAUUCACCCACAUCACAGACAUCGAAGGACGGCUGACCAAGCAAAUAGAAGAGGAUGGCGACCAAUCGGCUUCACUACCAGCACGCCGCAAUACAUGGAAGGAUGGUUGUUCGAAAAGAAAGAAGAGGACUGCAACACGUCGGCUCUGGAAAUGUGAGGCCAUCUAAUAAAUAAGAGAAUAUGCAUCCCUUGUGGACCUGACGGCUGACAAAGCAAAUCGAAGAGGAUGGCGACCAAUCGGCUCUACUACCAGCACGCUGCAAUACAUGGAAGGAUGGUUGUUCGAGAAGAAAGAAGAGGACUGCAACACGUCGGCUCUGGAAAUGUGAAGCCAUCAUGACGACUUCUGUUAUAGGCAUCCCAGUGAACCUGAUCCACCUAUCUGGAUGGUCACAUCAACUGGCUGAGAAGAUUUCCGACUGAUUCACCCACAUCGUAGGCAUCGAAGGAUGGUUAACCAAUCAAAAAGAAAAGCAAUUCGACCAGUCGGCUCUACCACCAGCACUCUGCAAUACAUGGAAGGAUGGUUGUUCAAGAAGAAAGAAGAGCACUGCAACACGUGGACUCUGGAAAUGUGAGGCCAAUAUGACGACUUCUGUUAUAGGCAUCCCAGUGAACCUGAUCCACCUAUCUGGAUGGUCACAUCAACUGACGGAGAUUUCCGACUGAUUCACCCACAUCAUCGAAGGACGGCUGACCAAGCAAAUGGAAGAGGAUGGCGACCAAUCGGCUCUACUACCAGCACGCUGCAAUACAUGGAAGGAUGGUUGUUCGAGAAGAAAGAAGAGGACUGCAACACGUCGGCCCUGGAAAUGUGAGGCCAAUAUGACGACUUCUGUUAUAGGCAUCCCAGUGAACCUGAUCCACCUAUCUGGAUGGUCACAUCAACUGACGGAGAUUUCCGACUGAUUCACCCACAUCAUCGAAGGACGGCUGACCAAGCAAAUGGAAGAGGAUGGCGACCAAUCGGCUCUACUACCAGCACGCUGCAAUACAUGGAAGGAUGGUUGUUCGAGAAGAAAGAAGAGGACUGCAACACGUCGGCUCUGGAAAUGUGAGGCCAAUAUGACGACUUCUGUUAUAGGCAUCCCAGUGAACCUGAUCCACCUAUCUGGAUGGUCACAUCAACUGGCUGAGAAGAUUUCCGACUGAUUCACCCACAUCGUAGGCAUCGAAGGAUGGUUAACCAAUCAAAAAGAAAAGCAAUUCGACCAGUCGGCUCUACCACCAGCACUCUGCAAUACAUGGAAGGAUGGUUGUUCAAGAAGAAAGAAGAGCACUGCAACACGUGGACUCUGGAAAUGUGAGGCCAAUAUGACGACUUCUGUUAUAGGCAUCCCAGUGAACCUGAUCCACCUAUCUGGAUGGUCACAUCAACUGACGGAGAAGAUUUUCGUCUGAUUCACCCACAUCACAGACAUCGAAGGACGGCUGACCAAGCAAAUCGAAGAGGAUGGCGACCAAUCGGCUCUACCACCAACACGCUGCAAUACAUGGCUGGAGUUCCUAUGAGAACAUCAUGUAGAGAGCUUUUCAAAAAAUUUGGUAUUUUGCCAGUGGUAUCUCAAUUCAUCUUGGAAAUUAUAACAUAUGUGAAAACUAAUGAAGGUUCAUUUCUGCGUAUGAAUUACAAUCAUACUUAUUCAACAACACACUCUUCGCUACUAAUCAUACCACGUCACACUCUGGUGGGAUAUGAGAGGUCUCCCAGAUAUAUGGGAAUUAAGUUGUUCAAUUCCCUUCCAAAGACCUAUAGGGAUAUUGAAAGUGUACAAAGUUUCAGAAGGGUAGUUAAUGAUUUCUUAUUGUCUCAAUGUUUCUAUACCCUAUCUGAAUAUUAUGAUUGUUGUAAGCAUAUCAGGUUAGGAAGUUGAUAUGUUUCAAAUAAUGGCUAGUAUGUGAAAUUUUUCCUUCUAUUGUUGUUUUACUGACUUGUCCAAUACGUAUUUGUAAUAUGUCGCUAUGGAUGAAUAAAUUAUUAUUAUUAUUAUUAUUAUUAUAAUCGGCUCUACUACCAGCACGCUGCAAUACAUGGAAGGAUGGUUGUUCGAGAAGAAAGAAGAGGACUGCAACACGUCGGCUAUGGAAAUGUGAAGCCAUCAUGACGACUUCUGUUAUAGGCAUCCCAGUGAACUUGAUCCACCUAUCUGGAUGGUCACAUCAACUCACGGAGAAGAUUUCCUACUGAUUCACCCACAUCACAGACAUCGAAGGACGGCUGACCAAGCAAAUCGAAGAGGAUGGCGACCAAUCGGCUCUACUACCAGCACGCUGCAAUACAUGGAAGGAUGGUUGUUCGAGAAGAAAGAAGAGGACUGCCACACGUCGGCUCUGGAAAUGUGAGGCCAUCAUGACGACUUCUGUUAUAGGCAUCCCAGUGAACUUGAUCCACCUAUCUGGAUGGUCACAUCAACUGACGGAGAUUUCCGACUGAUUCACCCACAUCGUAGGCAUCGAAGGAUGGUUAACCAAUCAAAAAAAAAAAGCAAUUCGACCAGUCGGCUCUACCACCAGCACUCUGCAAUACAUGGAAGGAUGGUUGUUCAAGAAGAAAGAAGAGCACUGCAACACGUGGACUCUGGAAAUGUGAGGCCAAUAUGACGACUUCUGUUAUAGGCAUCCCAGUGAACCUGAUCCACCUAUCUGGAUGGUCACAUCAACUGACGGAGAUUUCCGACUGAUUCACCCACAUCAUCGAAGGACGGCUGACCAAGCAAAUAGAAGAGGAUGGCGACCAAUCGGCUCUACUACCAGCACGCUGCAAUACAUAGAAGGAUGGUUGUUCGAGAAGAAAGAAGAGGACUGCAACACGUGGGCUCUGGAAAUGUGAGGCCAAUAUGACGACUUCUGUUAUAGGCAUCCCAGUGAACCUGAUCCACCUAUCUGGAUGGUCACAUCAACUGACGGAGAAGAUUUCCGACUGAUUCACCCACAUCAUCGAAGGACGGCUGACCAAGCAAAUAGAAGAGGAUGGCGACCAAUCGGCUCUACUACCAGCACGCUGCAAUACAUAGAAGGAUGGUUGUUCGAGAAGAAAGAAGAGGACUGCAACACGUGGGCUCUGGAAAUGUGAGGCCAAUAUGACGACUUCUGUUAUAGGCAUCCCAGUGAACCUGAUCCACCUAUCUGGAUGGUCAAAUCAACUGACGGAGAAGAUUUCCGACUGAUUCACCCACAUCAUCGAAGGACGGCUGACCAAGCAAAUAGAAGAGGAUGGCGACCAAUUGGCUCUACUACCAGCACGCUGCAAUACAUAGAAGGAUGGUUGUUCGAGAAGAAAGAAGAGGACUGCAACACGUCGGCUCUGGAAAUGUGAAGCCAUCAUAACGACUUCUGUUAUAGGCAUCCCAGUGAACCUGAUCCACCUAUCUGGAUGGUUACAUCAACUGACGGAGAAGAUUUCCGACUGAUUCACCCACAUCGCAGGCAUCGAAGGAUGGUUAACCAAUCAAAAAGAAAAGCAAUUCGACCAGUUGGCUCUACCACCAGCACUCUGCAAUACAUGGAAGGAUGGUUGUUCGAGGAAAAAGAAGAGGACUGCAACACGUCGGCUCAAAUGUGAGGCCAAUAUGAUGACUUCUGUUAUAGGCAUCCUAGUGAACCUGAUCCACCUAUUUGGAUGGUCACAUCAACUGACGGAGAAGAUUUCCGACUGAUUCACCCACAUCGCAGGCAUCGAAGGAUGGUUAACCAAUCAACAAGAAAAGCAAUUCGACCAGUUGGCUCUACCACCAGCACUCUGCAAUACAUGGAAGGAUGGUUGUUCGAGGAAAAAGAAGAGGACUGCAACACGUCGGCUCAAAUGUGAGGCCAAUAUGAUGACUUCUGUUAUAGGCAUCCUAGUGAACCUGAUCCACCUAUCUGGAUGGUUACAUCAACUGACGGAGAAGAUUUCCGACUGAUUCACCCACAUCGCAGGCAUCGAAGGAUGGUUAACCAAUCAAAAAGAAAAGCAAUUCGACCAGUUGGCUCUACCACCAGCACUCUGCAAUACAUGGAAGGAUGGUUGUUCGAGGAAAAAGAAGAGGACUGCAACACGUCGGCUCAAAUGUGAGGCCAAUAUGAUGACUUCUGUUAUAGGCAUCCUAGUGAACCUGAUCCACCUAUUUGGAUGGUCACAUCAACUGACGGAGAAGAUUUCCGACUGAUUCACCCACAUCAUCGAAGGACGGCUGACCAAGCAAAUAGAAGAGGAUGGCGACCAAUCGGCUCUACUUCCAGCACGCUGCAAUACAUAGAAGGAUGGUUGUUCGAGAAGAAAGAAGAGGACUGCAACACGUCGGCUCUGGAAAUGUGAGGCCAUCAUGACGACUUCUGUUAUAGGCAUCCCAGUGAACCAGUAAUUCCAACCGGUCAGCUCUACUACCAGCACGCUGCACUACAUGGAAGGAUGGUUGUUCAAAAGAAGGCGAAAGAGGACUGCAACACAUCGGCUUUGGAAAUGUGAGGCCAUCAUGACGACUUCUAUUAUAUUCAUCCCAGUGAACCUGAUCCACUCAUCCGAAGAGUAACAUCAACUGAAGGAGAAAAUUCUCGACUGAUUCACCCACAUCGUAGGCAUCGAAAGAUGGUUGACCACGCAAAAAAAAGAGCAUUGCGAACUGUCGGCUCUACUACCAGCACGCUGCAAUACAUGGAAGGUUGGUUAUUCAAGAAGAAAAAAGAGUAUUGCAACACGUGGACUCUGGAAAAGUAAGGCCAUCAUGUCGAUUUCUGUUGUCGUCAACCCAGUGAACCAGAUUCACUUAUCCGGAGGCUAUCAUCAUCAUCAACAUCAUCAUCUGAAGAAGAGGAUUUUCGUCUAACCCAUCUCCAUCACUGUCAACGAAGGAUGGUUGUCCAAGAAGAAAAGGGGACUGCAUCUCGUCGGCUCUGGAAAAGUAAGGCCAUCAUGACGGCUUCUGUUAUAGGCAUUCCAGUAUACCAGAUCCACUUAUCCAGAGGCUUACAUCUUCUGAAGAAAAGGACUUUCGUCUUACCCACCACCAUCACUUUCAACGAAUGAUGGUCGACCAAGCAAAAAGAAGAGAAUUGCGACUACUAGUAAUACUACUUCUACUACCAGCACGCUGGGAGGAUGGUUAUUCAAGAAGAAGGAAGAGGAUUUCAACACGUCUCCCUGGAAAAGUGAGACCUUCUUGUCAACUUCUGUUCUUGUCAUCCCAGUCAACCAGAUCCACUUAUCCGGAGGCUAUCAUCAUCAUCUGAAGAAGAGGACUUUCGUCUUACGCACCACCCUCACUGUCAACGAAUGAUGGUCGACCAAGCAAAAAGAAGAGAAUUGCGACUACUACUACUACUCCUACUACUACCUGCACGCUGCACUACAUGGAAGGAUGGUUAUUCAAGAAGAAGGAAGAGGAUUUCAACACGUCUGCCCUGGAAAAGUGAGACCAUCUUGUCAACUUUUGUUCUCGUCAUCCCAGUCAACCAGAUCCACUCAUCCAGAGGCUGUCAUCAUCUGAAGAAGAGGAUUUUCGUUUAACCCACCACCAUCACUGUCAACGAAGGAUGGUUGUUCAAGAACAAGAAAGAGGACUGCAUCUCGUCGACUCUGGAAAAGUAAGGCCAUCAUGACGGCUUCUGUUAUAGGCAUUCCAGUAAACCAGAUCCACUGAUCCAGAGGCUUACAUCUUCUGACGAAACGGACUUUCGUCUUACCCACCAACAUCACUGUCAACGAAGUAUGGUUGUUCAAGAAGAAAGAAGAGGACUGUAACUCGUCGGCUCUAGAAAAGGCCAUCAUGACGGCUUCUGUUAUGGGCAUUCCAGUAAACCAGAUCCACUUAUCCAAAGGCUAACAUCAUCUGAAGAAAAGGAUUUUCGUCUAACCCACCACCAUCACUGUCAACGAAGGAUGGUUGUUCAAGAAGAAAAAAGAGGACUGCAUCUCGUCGACUCUGGAAAAGUAAGGCUAUCAUGACGGCUUCUGUUAUAGGCAUUCCAGUAAACCAGAUCCACUGAUCCAGAGGCUUACAUCUUCUGACGAAACGGACUUUCGUCUUACCCACCAACAUCACUGUCAACGAAGUAUGGUUGUUCGAGAAGAAAGAAGAGGACUGCAACUCGUCGCCUCUGGAAAAGGCCAUCAUGACGGCUUCUGUUAUGGGCAUUCCAGUAAACCAGAUCCACUUAUCCAAAGGCUUACAUCAUCUGAAGAAAAGGAUUUUCGUCUAACCCACCACCAUCACUGUCAACGAAGGAUGGUUGUUCAAGAAGAAAGAUGAGGACUGUAACUCGUCGGCUCUAGAAAAGGCCAUCAUGACGGCUUCUGUUAUAGGCAUUCCAGUAAAGCAGAUCCCCUUAUCCAGAGGCUAUCAUCAUCAUCAUCUGAAGAAGAGGAUUUUCGUCUAACCCACCCACAUCACUGUCAACGAAGGAUGGUCGUUCAAGAAGAAAGAAGAGGACUUCAACUCGUCGGCUCUGGAAAAGUAAGGCCAUCAUGACGGCUUCUGUUAUAGGCAUUCCAGUAAACCAGAUCCACUUAUCCAGAGGCUUACAUCAUCUGAAGGAGAGGACUUUCGUCUUACCCACCACCAUCACUGUCAACGAAGGAUGGUUGUUCAAGAAGAAAGAAGAGGUCUGCUACUUGUCGGCUCUGGAAAAUAAGGCCAUCAUCACGGUUUCUGUUAUAGGCAUUCCAGUAAACCAGACUCCCUCAUCCAGAGGCUUACAUCAUCUGAAGGAGAGGACUUUCGUCUUACCCACCACCAUCACUGUCAACGAAGUAUGGUUGUUCAAGAAGAAAGAAGAGGACUGCAACUCGUCGCCUCUGGAAAAGGCCAUCAUGGCGGCUUCUGUUAUGGGCAUUCCAGUAAACCAGAUCCACUUAUCCAAAGGCUCAUAUCAUCUGAAGAAAAGGAUUUUCGUCUAACCCACCACCAUCACUGUCAACGAAGUAUGGUUGUUCAAGAAGAAAGAAGAGGACUGUAACUCGUCGGCUCUAGAAAAGGCCAUCAUGACGGCUUCUGUUAUAGGCAUUCCAGUAAACCAGAUCCCCUUAUCCAGAAUCAUCAUCAUCUGAAGAAAAGGAUUUUCUUCUUACCCACCACCAUCACUGUCAGCGAAGGAUGGUUUUUCAAGAAGAAAGAAGAGGACUGCAACUCGUCGGCUCUGGAAAAUAAGGCCAUCAUGACGGCUUCUGUUUUAGGCAUUCCAGUAAACCAGAUCCACUUAUCCAGAAUCUAUCAUCAUCUGAAGAAAAGGAUUUUCUUCUUACCCACCACCAUCACUGUCAGCGAAGGAUGGUUUUUCAAGAAGAAAGAAGAGGACUGCAUCUCGUCGACUCUGGAAAUGUAAGGCCAUCAUGACGGCUUCUGUUAUAGGCAUUCCAGUUAACCAGAUCCACUCAUCCAGAGGCUGUCAUCAUCUGAAGAAGAGGAUUUUCGUCUAACCCACCCACAUCACUGUCAACGAAGGAUGGUCGUUCAAGAAGAAAGAAGAGGACUGGAACUCGUCGGCUCUAGAAAAGGCCAUCAUGACGGCUUCUGUUAUAGGCAUUCCAGUAAACCAGAUCCACUUAUCCAGAGGCUUACAUCAUCUGAAGGAGAGGACUUUCGUCUUACCCACCACCAUCACUGUGAACGAAGUAUGGUUGUUCAAGAAGAAAGAAGAGGACUGCAACUCGUCGCCUCUGGAAAAGGCCAUCAUGACGGCUUCUGUUAUGGGCAUUCCAGUAAACCAGAUCCACUUAUCCAAAGGCUCAUAUCAUCUGAAGAAAAGGAUUUUCGUCUAACCCACCACCAUCACUGUCAACGAAGGAUGGUUGUUCAAGAAGAAAGAAGAGGACUGUAACUCGUCGGCUCUAGAAAAGGCCAUCAUGACGGCUUCUGUUAUAGGCAUUCCAGUAAACCAGAUCCCCUUAUCCAGAGGCUAUCAUCAUCAUCAUCUGAAGAAGAGGAUUUUCGUCUAACCCACCCACAUCACUGUCAACGAAGGAUGGUUUUUCAAGAAGAAAGAAGAGGAUUGCAACUCGUCAGCUCUGGAAAAAAUCUAUCAUCAUCUGAAGAAAAGGAUUUUCUUCUUACCCACCACCAUCACUGUCAACGAAGGAUGGUUUUUCAAGAAGAAAGAUGAGGACUGCAACUCGUCGGCUCUGGAAAAUAAGGCCAUCAUCACGGUUUCUGUUAUAGGCAUUCCAGUAAACCAGACUCCCUCAUCCAGAGGCUUACAUCAUCUGAAGAAGAGGACUUUAGUCUUACCCA